CAAUGAGUACUGAGGGGUUUUUACUAGUGAAUGCUACAUGUUAAAAACACUUCAUCCUCCCUGAUUCAAACAAAUCAAGUCCAAAACAAUACUUUUUAGACUGGAUAUUAGGUAACAUUAGGGAUUAUUAAAUUUUUUUGGAUGUGAUAACACUAUUGUCCUUAUAUUUUUAAAAAGCCCCUAUUAGAGAUAUAUAAGUACUGUGCUAUGUUUAUUGCAGCACUAUUUACAAUAGCAAAGACUUAGAACCAACCCAAAUGCCCAUCAAUCAUAGACUGGAUAAAGAAAGUGGCAUAUACACACCAAGGAAUACUAUGCAGCCAUAAAAAAGAAUGAGUUCAUGUCCUUUGCAGGAACAUGGAUGAAACUGGAAGGCAUCAUUCUCAGCAAACUAACAUGGGAACAGAAAACCAAACACUUCAUGUUCUCACUCUUAAGUGGGAGUUGAACAAUGAAAACACGUGGACACAGAUUCAGGCUUGCUUUCUUCCUACUGAAACUUGCACCCAGGAUUCACACAGCAACAAAAACCUAUGCCUCAUUAGAUGGCAGAUGACAGAUGACAACUGAGAGAACCCUUCCUCCAGAGAGCUGGUCCAUUUACACAACUAAUGUAUGCAGCAAUGCUCCUCUGGAGUCUGCUAUUCUAAGUUUUGGGGUCGCAAUAAGAGAGUUCAGGAGACAACAUGCGUCAAAGCACUUAAAACUGUGCCUGGUAAGUACCAAGGACUAAACAGUGUUAACUGCUACCAUUAUUGUUGUUAAAAAUAACAUCAAAUCAUUGCUUCUACAAUUCUGAGAGGGAAUA